AGUGAACGCUGGCGGUAGGCCUAACACAUGCAAGUCGAACGGCAGCACAGUAAGAGCUUGCUCUUACGGGUGGCGAGUGGCGGACGGGUGAGGAAUACAUCGGAAUCUACUUUUUCGUGGGGGAUAACGUAGGGAAACUUACGCUAAUACCGCAUACGACCUACGGGUGAAAGCAGGGGAUCUUCGGACCUUGCGCGAUUGAAUGAGCCGAUGUCGGACUAGCUAGUUGGCGGGGUAAAGGCCCACCAAGGCGACGAUCCGUAGCUGGUCUGAGAGGAUGAUCGGCCACACUGGAACUGAGACACGGUCCAGACUCCUACGGGAGGCAGCAGUGGGGAAUAUUGGACAAUGGGCGCAAGCCUGAUCCAGCCAUACCGCGUGGGUGAAGAAGGCCUUCGGGUUGUAAAGCCCUUUUGUUGGGAAAGAAAAGCAGCAGGUUAAUACCCCGCUGUUCUGACGGUACCCAAAGAAUAAGCACCGGCUAACUUCGUG
rnacentral:rRNA from 1 species